GGAGAGUCAUGGAGCUAUUCUGUUCCGUUUCAGUUUGGGCUUCCAGUCUGAGUGCUCACAGCAGAGCUGUUUCUGGGUGAGCCCUCUGAGGUCUGUGAGCGCGGGGCUGCCUGCUCUUCUCUGGCGGCCUGCAGGGGGCGCCAAGACCCACUAUGACCCGCGGGCGCAGGACGCUUUGCCUUCAGACUGGGCUCGGUGACCAACUGGCGGGAGCUGUGUCUCCUCAGGACCGCCAGGGCUCGGGCUUCUGGAUAACGGGGCUGCAUCCAGGCUGAGAGGAGCAGGGUUGCCUCAGUGCCCACCAGCAGGGAGGCGCUGCAAGAGGGAAAAAUGAGGACGAAGUAGACGUUUCCUGUGUCCAGCUGAGGGCUGACUGGAGGUCCAUCUCAGAGGACUCGGGGGGGAAAGAGCUCCAUGUGCAAAACGGUCAUCCAGAGGACCCAAGACAUGGUGGUUACUAGUAGACUUCCCACAGUAGUUCUUCAUUCCAUGUGGACUCCUUCAAGGGCAGUGAGCAUCACAGCUUCCCUUGAACUUCGUCUGGAAAAACAAAUGCUGUUCAAGGACACUGAAAGAACCCUGAUGUUGAAAAUCAGAUCUGUAUUGUGAGCAAUGCUUAGAAAUCCGUGAGUUGAAGCAUAGUAUUAUGCCUAUCAUCCUUGUAUUUCCCUCAGUGAAAUAUUUUGAGAAAAGCUCUUCAUUCAUGUUGUAGGUUCAUGAAGAAGCUAAAUAGCAUUAAUCCUUUACAUUUACAACUGUGAAUGUAAAUCUCCUGUGAAUCCUAUGUGACAACCGCACAUACCAACAUGAUUUAUUAGUAUUAAUAUUUUUAGUCCUAUUGUAUGUCAACUAAAAAAAUCUGUAUGUAAUUGUACAUGAAGUCAAAACAUUAAAUCAGUGCAAAUACAAAAUAUUCCAUCCUUUGAGAAAGGGAGCAAAAAAUCUAUGUGCUUUGCCUAUUGCAUUUUUAUGUAUUAGAUCCUUAAGUAUUUUAUUCACCACACCCAACUGAAUGAUUCACAAAUCUUCAGAGAAGAAAGGAUCACUUCUCUUUAACAAUGAGUAGUUUGACUCAUCUCAAAGCAAAGUCCUAAGUGAGUCUAAUUUUGUGUGAGACCAUGAAAACUCAGUGUUUUUAUUAUGCUUGUGCUUAUGAUGGGAGGUCUGAGAAGGCACUUCUGAAGGUUUCUUCAUACCAGUCGUUCUCAUAUUUAUCGAGUCUUUAAAGGUUGACUUACUGAGGUGUUACUUCUACACUUGUACUGGGCUGAGUAGCAACAUGCCCUUUCUCCCUAAGUGCAGUACAAGUCUUUCUAACCUGUUUGUCUUCUGUCCUCUGGAGCAUGUAUCGCUUGAACUCACCACAGCCUAGUAGAUGGAAAUCGUCAGGAUAUUCUGGAAACCCUUUUUAUUGCAGUCUGUUCAGGAGGUUACGACUGCUGCAGAUACACAUAUCGGCCUUCGGUUCUAUCACUAGUAUUGCAAGUAAAAAAAAUUAAUUAGAG
ensembl:lncRNA